rnacentral:rRNA from 1 species
GAUGAACGCUGGCGGCGUGCCUAAUACAUGCAAGUCGAGCGAACGGACGAGAAGCUUGCUUCUCUGAUGUUAGCGGCGGACGGGUGAGUAACACGUGGAUAACCUACCUAUAAGACUGGGAUAACUUCGGGAAACCGGAGCUAAUACCGGAUAAUAUUUUGAACCGCAUGGUUCAAAAGUAAAAGACGGUCUUGCUGUCACUUAUAGAUGGAUCCGCGCUGCAUUAGCUAGUUGGUAAGGUAACGGCUUACCAAGGCAACGAUGCAUAGCCGACCUGAGAGGGUGAUCGGCCACACUGGAACUGAGACACGGUCCAGACUCCUACGGGAGGCAGCAGUAGGGAAUCUUCCGCAAUGGGCGAAAGCCUGACGGAGCAACGCCGCGUGAGUGAUGAAGGUCUUCGGAUCGUAAAACUCUGUUAUUAGGGAAGAACAUAUGUGUAAGUAACUGUGCACAUCUUGACGGUACCUAAUCAGAAAGCCACGGCUAACUACGUGCCAGCAGCCGCGGUAAUACGUAGUGGGCAGCGUUAUCCNGAAUUUAUGGGCGUAAGCACGCGUAGGCGGUUUUUUAAGUCUGAUGUGAAAGCCCACGGCUCAACCGUGGAGGGUCAUUGGAAACUGGAAAACUUGAGUGCAGAAGAGGAAAGUGGAAUUCCAUGUGUAGCGGUGAAAUGCGCAGAGAUAUGGAGGAACACCAGUGGCGAAGGCGACUUUCUGGUCUGUAACUGACGCUGAUGUGCGAAAGCGUGGGGAUCAAACAGGAUUAGAUACCCUGGUAGUCCACGCCGUAAACGAUGAGUGCUAAGUGUUAGGGGGUUUCCGCCCCUUAGUGCUGCAGCUACCGCAUUAAGCACUCCGCCUGGGGAGUACGACCGCAAGGUUGAAACUCAAAGGAAUUGACGGGGACCCGCACAAGCGGUGGAGCAUGUGGUUUAAUUCGAAGCAACGCGAAGAACCUUACCAAAUCUUGACAUCCUUUGACAACUCUAGAGAUAGAGCCUUCCCCUUCGGGGGACAAAGUGACAGGUGGUGCAUGGUUGUCGUCAGCUCGUGUCGUGAGAUGUUGGGUUAAGUCCCGCAACGAGCGCAACCCUUAAGCUUAGUUGCCAUCAUUAAGUUGGGCACUCUAAGUUGACUGCCGGUGACAAACCGGAGGAAGGUGGGGAUGACGUCAAAUCAUCAUGCCCCUUAUGAUUUGGGCUACACACGUGCUACAAUGGACAAUACAAAGGGCAGCGAAACCGCGAGGUCAAGCAAAUCCCAUAAAGUUGUUCUCAGUUCGGAUUGUAGUCUGCAACUCGACUAUAUGAAGCUGGAAUCGCUAGUAAUCGUAGAUCAGCAUGCUACGGUGAAUACGUUCCCGGGUCU